rnacentral:tRNA from 1 species
AAGGAAUUAGUUAAAGUUAUAACAUUAGUUUGUCAAACUGAAAUUAUUUAAUAUUAUUGAUAUUUCUUA